rnacentral:rRNA from 1 species
UACGUAGGGGCCUAGCGUUGUCCGGAAUUAUUGGGCGUAAAGAGCUCGUAGGCGGUUCGGCAAGUCGGAUGUGAAAUCUCCACGCUCAACGUGGAGGGGCCAUUCGAAACUGCCGUGACUCGAGUCCGGUAGGGGAGUGUGGAAUUCCCGGUGUAGCGGUGAAAUGCGCAGAUAUCGGGAGGAACACCAGUAGCGAAGGCGGCUCACUGGCCCGAUACUGACGCUGAGGCACGAAAGCGUGGGGAGCGAACAGG